GUAACACGUAGUCAACAUGCCCAGGGGACGUGGAUAACCUCGGGAAACUGAGAUUAAACCGCGAUAGGUCAAGAUUUCUGGAAUGGAUCCUGGCUUAAAUCUACAUGGCCCCUGGAUUGGACUGCGGCCGAUCAGGCUGUUGGUGAGGUAAUGGCCCACCAAACCUAUAACCGGUACGGGCUCUGAGAGGAGAAGCCCGGAGAUGGGCACUGAGACAAGGGCCCAGGCCCUAUGGGGCGCAGCAGGCGCGAAAACUCUGCAAUGGGCGAAAGCCUGACAGGGUUACUCUGAGUGAUUUCCGCUAAGGAGAUCUUUUGGCAGCUCUAAAAAUGGUGCAGAAUAAGGGGUGGGCAAGUCUGGUGUCAGCCGCCGCGGUAAUACCAGCACCCCGAGUGGUCGGGACGAUUAUUGGGCCUAAAGCAUCCGUAGCCGGUUGUGCAAGUCCUCCGUUNAAUCCAGCCGCUCAACGGAUGGGGCUGCCGGAGGAUACUAACAAAAC
rnacentral:rRNA from 1 species